UACGUAGGGUGCGAGCGUUGUCCGGAAUUACUGGGCGUAAAGAGCUCGUAGGUGGUUUGUCGCGUUGUCCGUGAAAACUCACAGCUUAACUGUGGGCGUGCGGGCGAUACGGGCAGACUGGAGUACUGCAGGGGAGACUGGAAUUCCUGGUGUAGCGGUGGAAUGCGCAGAUAUCAGGAGGAACACCGGUGGCGAAGGCGGGUCUCUGGGCAGUAACUGACGCCGAGGAGCGAAAGCGUGGGGAGCAAACAGG
rnacentral:rRNA from 1 species